GGAAGGCAGCAGGCGCAGCGGUGUUCGCCGCG
rnacentral:SRP_RNA from 1 species